rnacentral:rRNA from 1 species
UACGAAGGGGGGCUAGCGUUGCUCGGAAUCACUGGGCGUAAAGGGUGCGUAGGCGGUUUUAGUUACAGAGGUGAAAUCCUGGAGCUCAACUCCAGAACUGCCUUUGAUACUGAAAGUCUUGAGUAUGGGAGAGGUGAGUGGAACUGCGAGUGUAGAGGUGAAAUUCGUAGAUAUUCGCAAGAACACCAGUGGCGAAGGCGGCUCACUGGCCCAUAACUGACGCUGAGGCACGAAAGCGUGGGGAGCAAACAGG